UACGAAGGUGGCAAGCGUUGUUCGGAUUUACUGGGCGUAAAGGGCGCGUAGGCGGCCACUGCAAGUCGGUUGUGAAAUCUCCGGGCUUAACCCGGAAAGGUCAAUCGAUACUGCAGGGCUAGAGUGCAGAAGGGGCAACUGGAAUUCUCGGUGUAGCGGUGAAAUGCGUAGAUAUCGAGAGGAACACCUGCGGCGAAGGCGGGUUGCUGGGCUGACACUGACGCUGAGGAGCGAAAGCGUGGGGAGCGAACGGG
rnacentral:rRNA from 1 species